rnacentral:rRNA from 1 species
AGUGAACGCUGGCGGUAGGCCUAACACAUGCAAGUCGAACAGCAGCACAGUAAGAGCUUGCUCUUACGGGUGGCGAGUGGCGGACGGGUGAGGAAUACAUCGGAAUCUACUUUUUCGUGGGGGAUAACGUAGGGAAACUUACGCUAAUACCGCAUACGACCUACGGGUGAAAGCAGGGGAUCUUCGGACCUUGCGCGAUUGAAUGAGCCGAUGUCGGAUUAGCUAGUUGGCGGGGUAAAGGCCCACCAAGGCGACGAUCCGUAGCUGGUCUGAGAGGAUGAUCAGCCACAUUGGAACUGAGACACGGUCCAGACUCCUACGGGAGGCAGCAGUGGGGAAUAUUGGACAAUGGGCGCAAGCCUGAUCCAGCCAUACGGCGUGGGUGAAGAAGGCCUUCGGGUUGUAAAGCCCUUUUGUUGGGAAAGAAAAGCAGCAGGUUAAUACCCCGCUGUUCUGACGGUACCAAAAGAAUAAGCACCGGCUAACUUCGU